CCUACGGGAGGCAGCAGUGAGGAAUAUUGGUCAAUGGGCGCGAGCCUGAACCAGCCAAGUAGCGUGAAGGAUGACUGCCCUACGGGUUGUAAACUUCUUUUAUAAAGGAAUAAAGUGAGGCACGUGAGCGGUUUUGGAUGGACGUUAUGAAUAAGGAUCGGCUAACUCCGUGCCAGCAGCCGCGGUAAUACGGAGGAUCCGAGCGUUAUGCGGAUUUAUUGGGUUUAAAGGGAGCGUAGAUGGGUUGUUAAGUCAGUUGUGAAAGUUUGCGGCUAAACCGUAAAAUUGCAAUUGAUACUGGCAGCCUUGAGUUCAGUUGAGGUAGGCGGACUUCGUGGUGUAGCGGUGAAAUGCUUAGAUCUCACGUAGAACUCCGAUUGCGAAGGCAGCUUACUAAACUGCCACUGCCAUUGAUGCUC
rnacentral:rRNA from 1 species